CAGCCAUAUAAUUUGGAAACUCCGGUUCUCGUACGAUCACCGAAGUUAAGCAAUGUCGAGUCUGGUCAGCAUCUAGAUGGGUUACCUCUUGAGAAUGCCAGAUGUUGGAAG